ensembl:lncRNA
AUGAGUGCAGGCAAGGCACCCAGUAAAGACGGGAUCCCAACCAAGGUGUACAAGGCCUUAAAUGGAAAGGCGCUUCAGGCAUUCCACAUAGUGCUGACCAGCAUAUGGGAAGAGGAAGACAUGCUCCCAGAACUCAAAGAUGCCUCCAUCAUAGCCCUAUACAAGAACAAAGGUGCACAAGCAGCCUGUGACAACUACAGAGGCAUCUCACUGCUCUCCACUGCUGGAAAGAUCCUCAAAUGUGUUAUACUCAACAGACUCCUGUCAUCUGUCUCAGAGCAGAACCUGCCUGAAUCACAACGUGGCUUCCGACCAGAAUGCAGCACCAUUGACAUGGUCUUCACGGUGAGGCAAAUGCAGGAAAAAUGCCUUGAGCAGAACCUGAGUCUCUACAUUGUCUUCAUAGACCUGACGAAGGCAUUCGACACAGUGAACAGGGAUGCACUGUGGGUGAUCCUUAGCAAGCUUGGUUGCCCAGCAAAAUUCAUUAAACUGAUCCAGCUCUUUCAUGUCUAUAUGACAGGGGAACUCCUAUCUGGUGGAGAGACUUCCGUUCGCUUCAACAUCUCCAAUGAUGUAAAACAAGGCUGCGUCCUUGCUCUGGUGCUAUUCAACCUAUACUUCACCCAAGUAUUACGACAUGCUGUGAUGGAUCUAGAAUUGGGCAUCUACAUCAAAUACCAACUGGAUGGCUCACUAUUCGACCUUCACCGCCUGACCGCAAAAACAAAGACAACAGAAAGACUCAUCCUGGAAGCUCUCUUCGUAGAUGACUGUGCUCUCAUGGCCCACCAAGAAAAUCAUCUCCAAACCAUUGUGGACGGGUUCUCUACCACAACAAAACUGUUUGGCCUGACUAUCAGCCUCAGCAAAACAGAGGUGCUAUUUCAACCUGCACCAGGGAGGCUAACUAACCAGCUGUGCAUUACAAUCGACGGCACGCAGCUUUCCAAUGUCAACACUUUCAAGUACCUGGGGAGCACCAUCGCCAACGACGGGUCCCUAGACCACGAGAUCAAUGCCAGGAUCCAAAAGGCCAGCCAGGUACUCGGGCGGCUGCUCUGCAAAGUCCUCCAACACAGCGGUGUAAGCACUGCAACGAAGCUCAAAGUGUAUAACGCAGUGGUCCUCAGCUCGCACCUGUACAGUUGUGAGACAUGGACACUGUACUGGAAGCACAUGAAACAGCUGGAGCAAUUCCACCAAUGCUCCCUCCGGUCAAUUAUGAGGAUCUGA